rnacentral:rRNA from 1 species
GAUGAACGCUGACAGAAUGCUUAACACAUGCAAGUCGAUUCGAUUUACCUUCGGGUAUUGAGGAUGGCGGACGGGUGAGUAACGCGUAAGGAACUUGCCUCUUGGUCUGGGACAACUGUUGGAAACGACAGCUAAUACCGGAUAUUAUGAGAUUCUCGCAUGGGAAACUUAUGAAAGCUAUAUGCGCCAAGAGAGAGCCUUGCGUUCCAUUAGCUAGUUGGUGGGGUAACGGCCCACCAAGGCGACGAUGGAUAGCCGGCCUGAGAGGGUGAACGGCCACAAGGGGACUGAGACACGGCCCUUACUCCUACGGGAGGCAGCAGUGGGGAAUAUUGGACAAUGGGCCACAAGCCUGAUCCAGCAAUUCUGUGUGCACGAUGAAGGUCUUCGGAUUGUAAAGUGCUUUCAGUUGGGAAGAAGAAAGUGACGGUACCAACAGAAGAAGCGACGGCUAAAUACGUGCCAGCAGCCGCGGUAAUACGUAUGUCGCAAGCGUUAUCCGGAUUUAUUGGGCGUAAAGCGCGUCUAGGCGGAAAAAUAAGUCUGAUGUUAAAAUGCGGGGCUCAACUCCGUAUUGCGUUGGNAAACUGUUUUUCUAGAGUACUGGAGAGGUGGGCGGAACUACAAGUGUAGAGGUGAAAUUCGUAGAUNNUUGNAGNAAUGCUGAUGGAGAAGUCAGCUCACUGGACAGAUACUGACGCUNAAGCGCG